rnacentral:lncRNA from 1 species
CCCGGGAAACAUGGCUGCUCGUCCUAGUACGGCGGCGUCGCGGCCACCAGUCCCCGAGAUGCGACUUGGGAGAGAGGUUGCAGAACCGGCGAGUGGGCAGCAGACUCACGGCGAGGGGGCGAAGCGUGAGAAAUCGCGCCCAGCCCAGAGCGCCCGCCCCUCCCCCAGCGCACACACUCGGGGAAGUUUAAAGAGCCGGUUCGACCCGCUUUCCGUUUCGCUCCGGGUCAGCUAGUACUGUGGACCGCUCGGUCGGGUCCGGCGCUGCUGCGCACCUACUCGCCGGGACCCUGAAGCCCCCCAACUACAUAUAGGGGUCUUCCGGGAAUGCGUGCCUGCCGUGCCCGCAAGAAUGUAGACUGGGUCGGUCCCCACAGCGGCACUAGCUCUGGGCAGCUCGGGUUCUGAUAAAGUUUCUCGUGCCCAUUUAUUAACCAAGCGCCGAAUGGCUGCCAGGGAGCCCACCCCAGGAGAAGCAAGGACCGGGAAGAGAAACGAAGACGCGCUUUAAACUCGAGCCAUCUCCCAACUCCGCAGCAGUCGGGUCCCCACGCGCUCUCCCCGGGGUCCUCGGGCUACAUUGAUCAGAAACUAUACCGGACUCGCGAAGCCCAAAACUUAUUGGGAGGCAGCCCAUCUUCUCCUCCCCUCGAUCAUCUUUUCCAUCCAGAUGCAAGUCGUGGGAGCUGAGAGCUCGGACGAGGAGGAUCCUGCGCCAGCGGAAUUCAAUCAAUAAACCCCGAACCCACGGCCG